GACGAACGCUGGCGGCAUGCCUAACACAUGCAAGUCGAACGAAGGCUUCGGCCUUAGUGGCGCACGGGUUCGUAACGCGAGGGAAUCUGACCUUAGGUUCGGAAUAACAGUUAGAAAUGACUGCUAAUACCGGAUGAUGACGUAAGUCCAAGGAUUUAUCGCCUGAGGAUGAGCACGAGUAGGUUUAGCUAGUUGGUGUGGUUAAGGCGCACCAAGGCGACGAUCCUUAGCUGGUCAGAGAGGAAGAUCAGCCACACUGGGAGUGAGACACGGCCCAGACUCCUACGGGAGGCAGCAAUGGGGAAUGUUGGACAAUGGGCGCAAGCCUGAUCCAGCAAGGCCGCGUGAGUGAUGAAGGCCUUAGAGAUGUAAAGCGCAUGUACCCGUGAUGAUAAUGACAGUAGCGGGAGAAUAAGCCCCGGCUAACUCCGUG
rnacentral:rRNA from 1 species